GGAUGAAGAACGUAGCGAAAUGCGAUAAGUAAUGUGAAUUGCAGAAUUCAGUGAAUCAUCGAAUCUUUGAACGCACAUUGCGCCCCCUGGUAUUCCGGGGGGCAUGCCUGUUCGAGCGUCAUUUCACCACUCAAGCCUCGCUUGGUAUUGGGCAACGCGGUCCGCCGCGUGCCUCAAAUCGUCCGGCUGGGUCUUCUGUCCCCUAAGCGUUGUGGAAACUAUUCGCUAAAGGGUGUUCGGGAGGCUACGCCGUAAAACAACCCCAUUUCUAAGGUUGACCUCGGAUCAGGUAGGGAUACCCGCUGAACUUAAGCAUAUCAAUAAGCGGAGGA
rnacentral:misc_RNA from 1 species